UACGUAGGAUGCGAGCGUUAUCCGGAUUUAUUGGGUUUAAAGGGUGCGUAGGCGGGCUUUUAAGUCAGCGGUAAAAAUUCGGGGCUCAACCCCGUCCGGCCGUUGAAACUGGGGGUCUUGAGUGGGCGAGAAGAAGGCGGAAUGCGUGGUGUAGCGGUGAAAUGCAUAGAUAUCACGCAGAACCCCGAUUGCGAAGGCAGCCCUCCGGCGCCCUACUGACGCUGAGGCACGAAAGUGCGGGGAUCGAACAGG
rnacentral:rRNA from 1 species